AGAGUUUGAUCAUGGCUCAGAAUCAACGCUGGCGGCGUGCCUAACACAUGCAAGUCGAACGAGAAAGGGGAGCAAUCCCUGAGUAAAGUGGCGACCGGGUGAGUAACACGUGACCAAUCUACCCUGGAGUGGGGGAUAACCUCGGGAAACCGGGGCUAAUACCGCAUAACAUCCCUGGAUCGGAAGAACUGGGGAUCAAAGGAGCAAUUCGCUUCAGGAGGAGGUCGCGGCUGAUUAGCUAGUUGGCGGGGUAAUGGCCCACCAAGGCGAAGAUCGGUAGCCGGCCUGAGAGGGCGCACGGCCACACUGGAACUGAAACACGGUCCAGACUCCUACGGGAGGCAGCAGUGGGGAAUUUUGCGCAAUGGGGGAAACCCUGACGCAGCAACGCCGCGUGGAGGAUGAAGUCCCUUGGGACGUAAACUCCUUUCGACCCGGACGAUAAUGACGGUACGGGUGGAAGAAGCCCCGGCUAACUUCGUGCCAGCAGCCGCGGUAAUACGAGGGGGGCAAGCGUUGUUCGGAAUUAUUGGGCGUAAAGGGCGCGUAGGCGGUGCGGUAAGUCACCUGUGAAAUCUCUGGGCUCAACUCAGAGCUUGCAGGCGAAACUGCCGUGCUCGAGGGUGGGAGAGGUGCGUGGAAUUCCCGGCGUAGCGGUGAAAUGCGUAGAUAUCGGGAGGAACACCUGUGGCGAAAGCGGCGCACUGGACCACAUCUGACGCUGAGGCGCGAAAGCUAGGGGAGCAAACAGGAUUAGAUACCCUAGUAGUCC
rnacentral:rRNA from 1 species